rnacentral:rRNA from 1 species
GCGGAAUGCCUCAUACAUGCAAGUCGAACGGCCCUUCGGGGUGNUGGCGGACGGGUGAGUAACACGUAUGUAAGGUGCCCUUUACUGGGGGACAACAGAGGGAAACCUCUGCUAAUACCGCAUAAGAGANUAGUUGAAAUACUCUUGUUUAAAGAUUUAUCGGUAAAGGAUCGGCCUGCGUCGGAUUAGCUUGUUGGCAGGGUAAAAGCCUACCAAGGCUACGAUCCGUAACUGGUCUGAGAGGAUGACCAGUCACAGUGGGACUGAGACACGGCCCACACUCCUACGGGAGGCAGCAGUAGGGAAUAUUGCGCAAUGGGCGAAAGCCUGACGCAGCAAUUCCGCGUGGAGGAUGAAGGUUCUUGGACUGUAAACUCCUUUCGGUGGUGACGAUAAUGACGGUAGCCACAGAAGAAGCACCGGCUAACUACGUGCCAGCAGCCGCGGUAAGACGUANGGUGCAAGCGUUGUCCGGAAUUAUUGGGCGUAAAGA